GAUGAACGCUGGCGGCGUGCCUAAUACAUGCAAGUCGAGCGAACAGACGAGGAGCUUGCUCCUCUGACGUUAGCGGCGGACGGGUGAGUAACACGUGGAUAACCUACCUAUAAGACUGGGAUAACUUCGGGAAACCGGAGCUAAUACCGGAUAAUAUAUUGAACCGCAUGGUUCAAUAGUGAAAGACGGUUUUGCUGUCACUUAUAGAUGGAUCCGCGCCGCAUUAGCUAGUUGGUAAGGUAACGGCUUACCAAGGCAACGAUGCGUAGCCGACCUGAGAGGGUGAUCGGCCACACUGGAACUGAGACACGGUCCAGACUCCUACGGGAGGCAGCAGUAGGGAAUCUUCCGCAAUGGGCGAAAGCCUGACGGAGCAACGCCGCGUGAGUGAUGAAGGUCUUCGGAUCGUAAAACUCUGUCAUUAGGGAAGAACAAAUGUGUAAGUAACUAUGCACGUCUUGACGGUACCUAAUCAGAAAGCCACGGCGAACUACGU
rnacentral:rRNA from 1 species